rnacentral:rRNA from 1 species
AGCGAACGCUGGCGGCAUGCCUAACACAUGCAAGUCGCACGGGGGGGCUUCGGCCUCCCAGUGGCGGACGGGUGAGGAACGCGUAGGGACCUGUCGAGGGGUGGGGGAUAACCGCGGGAAACUGCGGCUAAUACCGCAUGACGCCGCAGCGUGACAGCCGGGGCCAAAGGCGAAAGCCGCCCGCCGAGGGGCCUGCGUCCGAUUAGCUGGUUGGCGGGGUAGCGGCCCACCAAGGCGUCGAUCGGUAGCUGGUCUGAGAGGGUGAUCAGCCACACCGGGACUGAGACACGGCCCGGACUCCUACGGGAGGCAGCAGUGGGGAAUAUUGGACAAUGGGCGCAAGCCUGAUCCAGCAAUGCCGCGUGGGUGAAGAAGGUCUUCGGAUUGUAAAGCCCUUUCGGCGGGGACGAUGGUGACGGUACCCGCAGAAGAAGCCCCGGCUAACUUCGUG